rnacentral:rRNA from 1 species
CACGUAGGGGCGAGCGUUGUCCGGAAUUACUGGGCGUAAAGGGCGCGCAGGCUGUUAUGCGAGUCUGCUGUGAAAUGUACCGGCUCAACCGGUGCCUUGCGGCGGAUACUGCAUAGCUGGAGUACUGGAGAGGGAAGUGGAAUUCCUAGUGUAGCGGUGAAAUGCGUAGAGGUAUGGAGGAACACCAGUGGCGAAGGCGACUUACUGGACUGUAACUGACGCUGAGUCACGAAAGCGUGGGUAGCAAACAGGAUUAGA